AUUGAACGCUGGCGGCAGGCCUAACACAUGCAAGUCGAGCGGAGCGGCGGACGGGUGAGUGAUGCCUAGGAAUCUGCCUGGUCGUGGGGGAUAACGUCCGUAAAGGGGCGCUAAUACCGCAUACUAUCAGAUGAGCCUAGGUCGGAUUAGCUAGUGGGUGGGGUAAAGGCCUACCAAGGCGACGAUCCGUAACUGGUCUGAGAGGCUGAUCAGUCACACUGGAACUGAGACACGGUCCAGACUCCUACGUGAGGCAGCAGUGGGGAAUAUUGUACAAUGGGCGAAAGCCUGAUCCAGCCAUGCCGCGUGUGUGAAGAAGGUCUUCGGAUUGUAAAACACUUUUAGUUGGGAGGCGUUACCAACAGAAUAAGCACCGGCUAACUUCGUGCCAGCAGCCGCGGUAAUUC
rnacentral:rRNA from 1 species